UACGAAGGGGGCUAGCGUUGCUCGGAAUCACUGGGCGUAAAGGGUGCGUAGGCGGGUCUUAAGUCAGGGGUGAAAUCCUGGAGCUCAACUCCAGAACUGCCUUUGAUACUGGGAGACUUGAGUCCGGGAGAGGUGAGUGGAACUGCGAGUGUAGAGGUGAAAUUCGUAGAUAUUCGCAAGAACACCAGUGGCGAAGGCGGCUCACUGGCCCGGUACUGACGCUGAGGUGCGAAAGCGUGGGGAGCAAACAGGG
rnacentral:rRNA from 1 species